UCAAGUGACUAAGUGCAUGUGGCGGAUGCCUUGGCGAUCACAGGCGAAGAAAGACGCGGCAGCCUGCGAAAAGCUGCGGGGAGCUGGCAAACGAGCUUUGAUCCGCAGAUAUCUGAAUGGGGGAACCCACACCGCAAGGUGUAUCCGUAGCUGAAUACAUAGGUUACGGAGGCGAACGAGGAGAACUGAAACAUCUAAGUAUCCUCAGGAAAAGAAAUCAACCGAGAUUCCGGCAGUAGCGGCGAGCGAACCCGGAGGAGCCCAGCUUUUGAUAGUACGAACUUUAGCCGAAAGGUCCUGGAAAGGCCUGCUAUAGUGGGUGAUAGCCCCGUAGGCGAAAGAGUUGGUACGGUACUAAGGAAGCGAGAAGUAGAGCGGGACACGUGGAAUCCUGUUCGAAGACGGGGGGACCAUCCUCCAAGGCUAAAUACUCGUGAUCGACCGAUAGUGAACCAGUACCGUGAGGGAAAGGCGAAAAGAACCCCGGGAGGGGAGUGAAAUAGAACCUGAAACCGCAUGCAUACAAACAGUAGGAGCCUCAUCAGAGGUGACUGCGUACCUUUUGCAUAAUGGGUCAGCGACUUACAUUCUGUGGCGAGCUUAACCGAAUAGGGGAGGCGCAGCGAAAGCGAGUUCGAAAUGAGCGUCCAGUCGCAGGGUGUAGACCCGAAACCAGAUGAGCUAUCCAUGGCCAGGUUGAAGGUGUGGUAACACACACUGGAGGACCGAACCGACUAGUGUUGCAAAAUUAGCGGAUGAGCUGUGGAUAGGGGUGAAAGGCCAAACAAAUCUGGAGAUAGCUGGUUCUCCCCGAAAACUAUUGAGGUAGUGCCUCGUGUGUCGCUCCAGGGGGUAGAGCACUGUUUUGGCUAGGGGGACAUGGAGUCUUACCAAACCAAGGCAAACUCCGAAUACCUGGAAGCGUGAGCACGGGAGACAGAGCACCGGGUGCUAACGUCCGGACUCAAAAGGGAAACAACCCAGACCGCCGGCUAAGGUCCCAAAUAACAGCUAAGUGGAAAACGAAGUGGAAAGGCCGUGACAACCAGGAAGUUGGCUUAGAAGCAGCCAUCCUUCAAAGAAAGCGUAAUAGCUCACUGGUCGAGUCCUUCUGCGCGGAAGAUGUAACGGGGCUAAGCUGUUAACCGAAGCCGCGGAUGCACUGGUUAUCCAGUGCGUGGUAGGGGAGCGUUCUGUAAGUCUGCGAAGGCGGUUCGAGAGGACUGCUGGAGAUAUCAGAAGUGCGAAUGCUGACAUGAGUAACGUUAAAGCAGGUGAAAAGCCUGCUCGCCGUAAGCCCAAGGAUUCCUGCUCUACGUUCAUCGGAGCAGGGUGAGUCGGCUCCUAAGGUCAGGCCGAAAGGCGUAGCCGAUGGGAAUCAGGUUAAUAUUCCUGAACCUGCGUCAGAUGCGAUGGGGGGACGGAGCAUGGAAGAUCAUCCGGGUGUUGGAAGUCCCGGUUGUUUAGCGUAGGAGGUCUGCAGGCAAAUCCGCAGACGCAUCUCCAAGGCAAAGACACGUGCCGCCACGGCGGCGAAGUGAUCGGAAGUGCUUCCAAGAAAAGCCUCUAAGCCCCAGUCUGACGCGGACCGUACCGCAAACCGACACUGGUGGGCGAGCUGAAUAUGCUCAGGCGCUUGAGAGAACUCGGGAGAAGGAACUCGGCAAAUUGACCCCGUAACUUCGGAAGAAGGUGUGCCGUAGUACCGUGAGAGGAGAGACACCUUGAGCGGGAAACGGUCUCAGAGAAUAGGUGGCUGCGACUGUUUAUUAAAAACACAGCACUCUGCAAAGUCGAAAGACGACGUAUAGGGUGUGAUGCCUGCCCGGUGCUGGAAGAUUAAUUGAUGGGGUGAGAGCCCUUGAUCGAAGUCCCAGUAAACGGCGGCCGUAACUAUAACGGUCCUAAGGUAGCGAAAUUCCUUGUC
rnacentral:rRNA from 1 species